rnacentral:rRNA from 1 species
UACCUGCAGCUCGAGUGGUAACCGCUAUUAUUGGGCCUAAAGCGUCCGUAGCCGGUUUGGUAAAUAUCUGGGUAAAUCGUGAGGCUUAACUUCACGAAUUUCGGAUAGACUGCCAGACUUGGGAUCGGGGGAGGUCAGAGGUACUCCAGGGGUAGCGGUGAAAUGCUGUAAUCCUUGGAGGACCACCGGUAGCGAAGGCGUCUGACUAGAACGAGUCCGACGGUGAGGGACGAAGCCCUGGGGCGCAAACCGGAUUAGAUACCCGGGUAGUCCAGGGUGUAGACAAUGUGGGCUUUGUAUUGGAGGUUCCACGUGGGCGUCCAGUGCAGAAGAGAAGUUGUUAAGCCCACCGCCUGGGAAGUACGGUCGCAAGGCUGAAACUUAAAGGAAUUGGCGGGGGAGCACAGCAACGGGAGGAGCGUGCGGUUU